CUUUUAAACAAUUAAGCUACUAAGCAAAUGACAUGUAGAAAAUGAUUUUUUCAUACCUCUCCAUCCUCUAUUUUCUACUUUUACACUGUUUUAUUUUUAUUUUAAUGUGAGAGACCAUAGGAGAAGUUACCAAAAAAAAAAAAAAGAGACCAUAGGAGAAAUCUCAACUAAUGGUGCUCUUAAAUCCAAAAAGGUUAAAAAUUGUUUUUUUUUU
rnacentral:lncRNA from 1 species